rnacentral:lncRNA from 1 species
GGAAGCAAUGGAUCAACCGAAUAUAUGAUUCAUAAAGAGAGACUUAAAUCAAAGAAAGAGCUUUGUGUUGAUGGAUUGGCUUCUGAUUAUAUUAGUAAGAUACGUAACAGGCUCGGCCGCAAUUUAUAAGCAUAGUAAAAGUGUUGUCGUGUCUAUUUAUCUAUCUAUUUUUAAUAUAAGAUGUGUGCGAUAUUUUUAAGUCAUUAUCUUUUCUUUUAACUUUUAUGUAAGAAGUAUGUGAACUUUUGGUUCUAAUAAACGAGCUGCAAUAAGCACAGUUGAUGAGUUACUUCACUUUCUAAAAAAAUGUGGUUUUU